rnacentral:rRNA from 1 species
GAUGAACGCUGGCGGCGUGCCUAAUACAUGCAAGUCGAGCGAACAGACGAGGAGCUUGCUCCUCUGACGUUAGCGGCGGACGGGUGAGUAACACGUGGAUAACCUACCUAUAAGACUGGGAUAACUUCGGGAAACCGGAGCUAAUACCGGAUAAUAUAUUGAACCGCAUGGUUCAAUAGUGAAAGACGGUUUUGCUGUCACUUAUAGAUGGAUCCGCGCCGCAUUAGCUAGUUGGUAAGGUAACGGCUUACCAAGGCAACGAUGCGUAGCCGACCUGAGAGGGUGAUCGACCACCCUGGAACUGAGACACGGUCCAGACUCCUACGGGAGGCAGCAGUAGGGAAUCUUCCGCAAUGGGCGAAAGCCUGACGGAGCAACGCCGCGUGAGUGAUGAAGGUCUUCGGAUCGUAAAACUCUGUUAUUAGGGAAGAACAAAUGUGUAAGUAACUAUGCACGUCUUGACGGUACCUAAUCAGAAAGCCACGGCUAACUACGUG